AACGAACGCUGGCGGCAGGCCUAACACAUGCAAGUCGAGCGAAGUGAUCCGGAGUGAAGUUUUCGAACUGAUCGAAGGAUCAUCUUAGCGGCGGACGGGUGAGUAACGCGUGAGAAACCUGCCUUUCACAAAGGGAUAGCCUCGGGAAACUGGGAUUAAUACCUUAUGAUACUUAUCACUCGUAUGCGAGAUAAGUCAAACCGAUUAAGCGGUGAAAGAUGGUCUCGCGUCGUAUUAGCUAGUUGGUGAGGUAACGGCUCACCAAGGCUUCGAGAGGUGGACGGGCUGAGAGGGUGGUCAGCCACACUGGAGCUGAGGACCGGACCAGACUCCUGCGGGAGGCAGCAGUGGGGAAUAUUGCAGAAUGGAGGAAACUCUGAUUGAGCGAAGCGGCGUGGGUGAUGAAGGCCUUCGGGUUGGAAAGUUCUGUCCUUGGGGAAGUUAAUGACGGUAACCAAGGAGGAAGCCCCGGCUAACUACGCGCCAGCAGCCGCCGUAGAAC
rnacentral:rRNA from 1 species